GCAUGGGUUUGGAUUUAUGGCAGGUCUGAUCCCAUGAGCCUCUCACAGUAUCCCAUGCCCAAGCAGAUUGUAACCCCGAACUAUUGCCUGGCUUUACCCCAUGAGUUUCAGGCACUGAAGUGAGUUGCACUGUG
rnacentral:snoRNA from 1 species